rnacentral:rRNA from 1 species
CGCUGGCGGCGUGCCUAAACAUGCAAGUCGAACGCGCUCCAUUCGGUAGCAAUACUGAUGAAGAGCGAGUGGCGAACGGGUGAGUAGCACGUGAGCAACCUGCCCCGAAGACUGGGACAACACCGGGAAACCGGUGCUAAUACCGGAUAUCCCUAUCGGACCGCAUGAUCCGAUAAGGAAAUGUUUUUUCGCUUCGGGAGGGGCUCGCGGCCUAUCAGCUUGUUGGUGGGGUAACGGCCCACCAAGGCAUCGACGGGUAGCUGGUCUGAGAGGACGAUCAGCCACACUGGGACUGAGACACGGCCCAGACUCCUACGGGAGGCAGCAGUGGGGAAUCUUGCGCAAUGGGCGAAAGCCUGACGCAGCAACGCCGCGUGGAGGACGAAGGCUUUCUGAGUUGUAAACUCCUUUCAGCAGGGACGAUUGUGACGGUACCUGCAGAAGAAGCACCGGCCAACUACGUGCCAGCAGCCGCGGUGAUACGUAGGGUGCAAGCGUUGUCCGGAUUUAUUGGGCGUAAAGAGCUCGUAGGCGGUUUGAUAAGUCGGGUGUGAAACCUCCAGGCUCAACCUGGAGCCGNCACUCGAUACUGUCAUGACUUGAAUUCGGUAGGGGACCACGGAAUUCCUGGUGUAGCGGUGAAAUGCGCA